CCCGUCCGCAGGUAAGCGACUGCGCCUGCGCAGGGAGCAGCUGCCGGAAGCGGCCGUCCGCGCUCCUGCUUCCGGUUUGGUGGCCGCACCUGUGAUUUCAAGUCAGAUAAACCA
rnacentral:lncRNA from 1 species